AGAGUUUGAUCCUGGCUCAGGACGAACGCUGGCGGCGUGCUUAACACAUGCAAGUCGAACGGAGAUUGCGUUGGAAGGGUUUCGGCCCGGAAGAUGUAAUUUCAGUGGCGGACGGGUGAGUAACGCGUGAACAAUCUGUCCCAGACAGGGGGAUAACACUUGGAAACAGGUGCUAAUACCGCAUGAGACCACGGAAUCGCAUGGUUUUGGGGUAAAAGGAGGGAUCCGGUUUGGGGUGAGUUCGCGUCCGAUUAGCCAGUUGGCGGGGUAACGGCCCACCAAAGCGACGAUCGGUAGCCGAUCUGAGAGGAUGACCGGCCACAUUGGAACUGAGAGACGGUCCAAACUCCUACGGGAGGCAGCAGUGGGGAAUAUUGGGCAAUGGGCGAAAGCCUGACCCAGCAACGCCGCGUGAGUGAAGAAGGCCUUCGGGUUGUAAAGCUCUGUUAUAGGGGACGAAGGAAGUGACGGUACCCUAUAAGGAAGCCCCGGCUAACUACGUGCC
rnacentral:rRNA from 1 species